CNUUCNCNUUUCNCCNCANGCAUUUGGUNGUCGCNUNACGGAAAACNUCNCGUUUUCCGCNCCUUCCGCUUGACUAUCCGGUGGCNAACGCGUGCACUUUUCUUCCGGUAGGACGUCUCAAACCGNUGGGUGUCGGUCUACGGCANACGGUGGANCCCAUNUGUUCGCNAAUGGACCCGUUUGUUCCCGGCCGACNGGCUCGACGGUAUGCGAAUGGUUUAAGGCCGCUCUUUGCCGUNCGACUCGCGGCAAGCCCGCCAGAUGCGUUGGCAAUCGGACUAGUGGCGAUUCUGACCUCUGGUGACUGUUGGCCGCGAAGUUCUCGAACAGACCUUAGGACCGAUCCGCGACGCAAUAGCUUUGGGUACUUUCAGGACCCGUCUUGAAACACGGACCAAGGAGUUUAGCAUGUACGCAAGUCAUAGGGAAUAACUAAACCUAAAGGCGUAAUGAAAGUNAAGGUNUUCCUUGCGGAGACCGAGGGANGACGAGUGGAUUUCACCCUUAAAAGUGGCCGCUCCGCACUCCCGGGGCGUCUCGUUCUCAUNGCGAGAAGAGGCGCACCAAGAGCGUACACGNUGGGACCCGAAAGAUGGUGAANUAUGCGUGGUCAGGACGAAGUCAGGGGAAACCNUGAUGGAGGUCCGUAGCGAUUNNGAC
rnacentral:rRNA from 1 species